rnacentral:rRNA from 1 species
UAAGAUGAGAGUUUGAUCCUGGCUCAGGACGAACGCUGGCGGCAUGCCUAAUACAUGCAAGUCGAACGAGCUUCCGUUGAUUGACGUGCUUGCACUGAUUUCAACAAUGAAGCGAGUGGCGAACUGGUGAGUAACACGUGGGUAACUUGCCCAGAAGCAGGGGAUAACACUUGGAAACAGGUGCUAAUACCGUAUAACAACAAAAACCGCAUGGUUUUUGUUUGAAAGGUGGUUUCGGCUAUCACUUCUGGAUGGACCCGCGGCGUAUUAGUUAGUUGGUGAGGUAAAGGCCCACCAAGACAAUGAUACGUAGCCGACCUGAGAGGGUAAUCGGCCACAUUGGGACUGAGACAUGGCCCAAACUCCUACGGGAGGCAG